UUAUAUAAACGAACAUAUGUAUACUUGCACUCAUAUCAAGCAGCAAGCAGAUUGAAAGUUAAAACAACGAUUAGUUGUUGCUGUCUCAGCUGUUGCUGUUGUAGCUUUUUCUAUAAAAUCGAACCAAGCUAACAGAAAUCUCCAUUGCUGUAGUAGAGACGAGUUCGUAAAAUUCACGAUGACUAUAGCGUACGCGAAGCAAAUAAACAAUAAAAAAAAAAAAAUAAAAUUAAAUGUGAUAGCAAAGACGACGAAGCGUCAUGUGAUGAAACACAAUACAAUUGACCAAAUGAAUAACAAUACGAAAAACUUGAUUGUGUCGGUAUCUGACAAAUAUAUACAAUAAACUAUUUUUAAUGUUUUAUAUUGUUUCGUCUGUUUUUUGAUAUUUAACUCGCUAAAAUACAAGUGCGAGUUAAUACAUUUUUCAUUCAUGUGGAAUUAUAUAUGUAUAUUGCAUAAUGGAAUUAGAUGGACAUAUUUACUCACCCCUUUAACCAUUUUCAUGCGUUUCAAAGCGAACGAAAGAAGCUGACUUAGCACAUCUAAGGACAUCUCAUUGCGACGAGAACUGCUGUUGGAACGACGAAAGAAUAUCAAGGAAUUAGAUUGUUUAAGUUUUAGAUUUCAAAUAAAUAUAAAAAUUAUUACUGAGAAUG